rfam:Anaeromyxobacter sp. Fw109-5, complete genome.
GCCUGGGUAGCUCAGUCGGUAGAGCAGGGGACUGAAAAUCCCCGUGUCGGUGGUUCGAUUCCGCCCCCAGGCA